CGGGUUAUUGGCAGUUGCAAUUUUACCAAAAUUGUAUGAAUCUGCUGUGGCAAAUUACCCUAAGGAAGAUAAACCACCAGAAUUUGCAUCUGAAGAAGGAUGCUACUCGAAAGCAUUGAAUCGAGUAAUAGGCCCAGGGGAAACGUUUUACAACGUGGGAAAAGAAUGUGCGUCGUAUGAAUGUCGAGCCAGUGGUGAAACCAUUAAAUAUACCUGCGGAGAAAUCGCUUCUGUUAGAAUAGGCUGCAGAGUAGUGGAAGGUGAUCUUAAUUUAAAGUAUCCUGACUGUUGCCCAAAUGUCAAAUGCCGUAAAAUACAAGGACCAAUAAUUAUUAAACCUACUGACCGACCACCGAUAUUGUAAACCUACCUGGUUUAAAGUAGAUAAUUGAUGAUAU